GCCGGGUGUGCUGCUGCGCACCUGUAAUCCCAGCUCCUCAGGAGGCUGAGGCAGGAGACUCGCUUGAACUCGGGAGGCAGAGGUUGCAGUGAGCUGAGAUUGCACCACUGCACUCCAGCCUGGGUGACAGAGUGAGACUCUGUCUCAA
rnacentral:SRP_RNA from 1 species